rnacentral:lncRNA from 1 species
UAAGUGAUUCUCCCAAUCCCUGAAAUAAACUCCUUUACCUCUUAUCUCUUCUUUUUCUGUUAUACCUGAUCCACCUAGGGAAGCACAAUUCCGCUGCUGGCCCUCCUGGGAAGCAUGUCCUGAGGCCCACCUUACAAGUGAUGCCCCUGCCUCUGCCCUGGCCACCCCAUCAUGGCUCCAUUGAUAUCUGUGCUCCCUCAGUCCAGAACUUUCACUCAAACUCAUAAGAGAAGUGAAUAGAUGGCUGGUUGAAGCACAUGGAAGUCCAUAUACAUCCAAGAAGAGGCUUCUACAAAUUUCACAUGGAUUCUCAGAACCAAAACUACAUUGCCAGAAAAGAUCCACCUUCAUUCUGUCAUGCACAACAGUGUUUACUUGUUCCUUACAAGAAAACAAGAGAUCCACAAACUGCUGUGCUGAGCUAUGAAAUUGGUGCCCACAUACUAUGAUUGUGAAAUUACAAAUGGGUUCAGCAAUUUGUCAAGAUCUGAG